rnacentral:lncRNA from 1 species
UGGCCAUCUCAGGAGGUAUGCACAGGACUCUUGCUCAAGCACCCAGGAAUGUCACGUAGGCAGCAGAAAAUGGAGAAUAAAAGAGGGUCCAAUAACCACAACGGUGGAAGCUGAUCCUUCACCACAACCACCGCAACGUGUAGACGGAUCUCUACGUGGAGACUGAUCUCUCACCACGACACGAGCUUCCUGCCUUCCGAUCCUCCUCUACGGACCGUUUGCUGACGGACUUCCCUGGGCCUGCUACCUGAGACCUGCUGCUUCCUCCCUG